GACGUAGGGCGCGAGCGUUGUCCGGAUUUAUUGGGCGUAAAGGGCUCGUAGGCGGCUUGUUGCGUCGACUGUGAAAACCCGCGGCUUAACCCGGGAACUGCGUCCGAUACUGGGAGGCUUGAAUCCGGGAGAGGGAUGUGGAAUUCCAGGUGUAGCGGUGAAAUGCGUAGAUAUCUGGAGGAACACCGGUGGCGAAGGCGGCAUCCUGGACCGGUAUUGACGCUGAGGCGCGAAAGCCAGGGGAGCAAACGGG
rnacentral:rRNA from 1 species